rnacentral:rRNA from 1 species
AGGGCGCACGGUGGAUGCCUUGACACUAGGAGUCGAUGAAGGACGGGACUAACGCCGAUAUGCUUCGGGGAGCUGUAAGUAAGCUUUGAUCCGAAGAUUUCCGAAUGGGGAAACCCACCAUACGUAAUGGUAUGGUAUCCUUAUCUGAAUACAUAGGGUAAGGAAGACAGACCCAGGGAACUGAAACAUCUAAGUACCUGGAGGAAGAGAAAGCAAAUGCGAUUUCCUGAGUAGCGGCGAGCGAAACGGAACAUAGCCCAAACCAAGAGGCUUGCCUCUUGGGGUUGUAGGACAUUCUAUACGGAGUUACAAAGGAACGAGGUAGACGAAGCGACCUGGAAAGGUCCGUCGUAGAGGGUAACAACCCCGUAGUCGAAACUUCGUUCUCUCUUGAAUGUAUCCUGAGUACGGCGGAACACGUGAAAUUCCGUCGGAAUCUGGGAGGACCAUCUCCCAAGGCUAAAUACUCCCUAGUGAUCGAUAGUGAACCAGUACCGUGAGGGAAAGGUGAAAAGCACCCCGGAAGGGGAGUGAAAGAGAUCCUGAAACCGUGUGCCUACAAAUAGUCAGAGCCCGUUAAUGGGUGAUGGCGUGCCUUUUGUAGAAUGAACCGGCGAGUUACGAUCCCGUGCGAGGUUAAGCUGAAGAGGCGGAGCCGCAGCGAAAGCGAGUCUGAAUAGGGCGUUUAGUACGUGGUCGUAGACCCGAAACCAGGUGAUCUACCCAUGUCCAGGGUGAAGUUCAGGUAACACUGAAUGGAGGCCCGAACCCACGCACGUUGAAAAGUGCGGGGAUGAGGUGUGGGUAGCGGAGAAAUUCCAAUCGAACCUGGAGAUAGCUGGUUCUCCCCGAAAUAGCUUUAGGGCUAGCCUUAAGUGUAAGAGUCUUGGAGGUAGAGCACUGAUUGGACUAGGGGUCCUCAUCGGAUUACCGAAUUCAGUCAAACUCCGAAUGCCAAUGACUUAUCCUUAGGAGUCAGACUGCGAGUGAUAAGAUCCGUAGUCAAAAGGGAAACAGCCCAGACCGCCAGCUAAGGUCCCAAAGUGUGUAUUAAGUGGAAAAGGAUGUGGAGUUGCUUAGACAACUAGGAUGUUGGCUUAGAAGCAGCCACCAUUUAAAGAGUGCGUAAUAGCUCACUAGUCGAGUGACUCUGCGCCGAAAAUGUACCGGGGCUAAAUACACCACCGAAGCUGCGGAUUGAUACCAAUGGUAUCAGUGGUAGGGGAGCGUUCUAAGGACAGUGAAGUCAGACCGGAAGGACUGGUGGAGUGCUUAGAAGUGAGAAUGCCGGUAUGAGUAGCGAAAGACGGGUGAGAAUCCCGUCCACCGAAUGCCUAAGGUUUCCUGAGGAAGGCUCGUCCGCUCAGGGUUAGUCAGGACCUAAGCCGAGGCCGACAGGCGUAGGCGAUGGACAACAGGUUGAUAUUCCUGUACCACCUCUUUAUCGUUUGAGCAAUGGAGGGACGCAGAAGGAUAGAAGAAGCGUGCGAUUGGUUGUGCACGUCCAAGCAGUUAGGCUGAUAAGUAGGCAAAUCCGCUUAUCGUGAAGGCUGAGCUGUGAUGGGGAAGCUCCUUAUGGAGCGAAGUCUUUGAUUCCCCGCUGCCAAGAAAAGCUUCUAGCGAGAUAAAAGGUGCCUGUACCGCAAACCGACACAGGUAGGCGAGGAGAGAAUCCUAAGGUGUGCGAGAGAACUCUGGUUAAGGAACUCGGCAAAAUGACCCCGUAACUUCGGGAGAAGGGGUGCUUUCUUAACGGAAAGCCGCAGUGAAUAGGCCCAAGCGACUGUUUAGCAAAAACACAGCUCUCUGCGAAGCCGUAAGGCGAAGUAUAGGGGUGACACCUGCCCGGUGCUGGAAGGUUAAGGAGAGGGGUUAGCGUAAGCGAAGCUCUGAACUGAAGCCCCAGUAAACGGCGGCCGUAACUAUAACGGUCCUAAGGUAGCGAAAUUCCUUGUCGGGUAAGUUCCGACCCGCACGAAAGGUGUAACGAUUUGGGCACUGUCUCAACCAGAGACUCGGUGAAAUUAUAGUACCUGUGAAGAUGCAGGUUACCCGCGACAGGACGGAAAGACCCCGUGGAGCUUUACUGUAGCCUGAUAUUGAAUUUUGGUACAGUUUGUACAGGAUAGGCGGGAGCCUUUGAAACCGGAGCGCUAGCUUCGGUGGAGGCGCUGGUGGGAUACCGCCCUGACUGUAUUGAAAUUCUAACCUACGGGUCUUAUCGACCCGGGAGACAGUGUCAGGUGGGCAGUUUGACUGGGGCGGUCGCCUCCUAAAGUGUAACGGAGGCGCCCAAAGGUUCCCUCAGAAUGGUUGGAAAUCAUUCGUAGAGUGCAAAGGCAUAAGGGAGCUUGACUGCGAGACCUACAAGUCGAGCAGGGACGAAAGUCGGGCUUAGUGAUCCGGUGGUUCCGCAUGGAAGGGCCAUCGCUCAACGGAUAAAAGCUACCCCGGGGAUAACAGGCUUAUCUCCCCCAAGAGUCCACAUCGACGGGGAGGUUUGGCACCUCGAUGUCGGCUCAUCGCAUCCUGGGGCUGUAGUCGGUCCCAAGGGUUGGGCUGUUCGCCCAUUAAAGCGGUACGCGAGCUGGGUUCAGAACGUCGUGAGACAGUUCGGUCCCUAUCCGUCGUGGGCGUAGGAAAUUUGAGAGGAGCUGUCCUUAGUACGAGAGGACCGGGAUGGACGCACCGCUGGUGUACCAGUUGUUCUGCCAAGGGCAUAGCUGGGUAGCUAUGUGCGGAAGGGAUAAGUGCUGAAAGCAUCUAAGCAUGAAGCCCCCCUCAAGAUGAGAUUUCCCAUAGCGUAAGCUAGU